UGCUGGGGGGAUCAGUGGCGAACGGGUGAGUAACACGUGAGCAACCUGCCCCCCACUUCGGGAUAAGCCUUGGAAACGGGGUCUAAUACCGGAUAUGAGUGCCUGCUGCAUGGUGGGUGCUGGAAAGUUUUUCGGUGGGGGAUGGGCUCGCGGCCUAUCAGCUUGUUGGUGGGGUAAUGGCCUACCAAGGCGUCGACGGGUAGCCGGCCUGAGAGGGCGACCGGCCACACUGGGACUGAGACACGGCCCAGACUCCUACGGGAGGCAGCAGUGGGGAAUAUUGCACAAUGGGCGAAAGCCUGAUGCAGCGACGCCGCGUGAGGGAUGACGGCCUUCGGGUUGUAAACCUCUUUCAGCAGGGAAGAAGCGCAAGUGACGGUACCUGCAGAAGAAGCGCCGGCUAACUACGUGCCAGCAGCCGCGGUAAUACGUAGGGCGCAAGCGUUGUCCGGAAUUAUUGGGCGUAAAGAGCUCGUAGGCGGUUUGUCGCGUCUGGUGUGAAAACCUCAGGCUCAACCUGGGGCGUGCAUCGGGUACGGGCAGACUAGAGUGCGGUAGGGGAGACUGGAAUUCCUGGUGUAGCGGUGGAAUGCGCAGAUAUCAGGAGGAACACCGAUGGCGAAGGCAGGUCUCUGGGCCGCAACUGACGCUGAGGAGCGAAAGCAUGGGGAGCGAACAGGAUUAGAUACCCUGGUAGUCCAUGCCGUAAACGUUGGGCACUAGGUGUGGGGCUCAUUCCACGAGUUCCGUGCCGCAGCUAACGCAUUAAGUGCCCCGCCUGGGGAGUACGGCCGCAAGGCUAAAACUCAAAGGAAUUGACGGGGGCCCGCACAAGCGGCGGAGCAUGCGGAUUAAUUCGAUGCAACGCGAAGAACCUUACCAAGGCUUGACAUGCACCGGAAACACUCAGAGAUGGGUGCCCGCAAGGUCGGUGCACAGGUGGUGCAUGGUUGUCGUCAGCUCGUGUCGUGAGAUGUUGGGUAGUCCCGCACGAGCGCACCCUCGUCCUAUGUUGCCAGCGGGUUAUGCCGGGACUCAUGGGAGAACUGCCGGGGUCAAC
rnacentral:rRNA from 1 species